CCCAACUAUCCCUAUUAAUCAUUACGUCGAUCCUAGAAACCAACAAAAUAGGGUCAAACGUCCUAUUUCAUUAUUCCAUGCUAAUGUAUUCAAGCGUUAGCUUGCUUUAAACACUCUAAUUUUUUCAAAGUAACAGUCCUGAUUCUCCACGACACCAAAUUAAUGACAUCAUGAUUCGUCAGAAGGGAGAAACCAAUAAAAUCAGUACGUACCAGAGGCACGACCAAUUAAUUGAUCCCGAAAUUCAACUACGAGCUUUUUAACUGCAACAACUUUAAUAUACGCUAUUGGAGCUGGAAUUACCGCGGCUGCUGGCACCAGACUUGCCCUCCAA
rnacentral:misc_RNA from 1 species